rnacentral:rRNA from 1 species
GUGGGGAAUAUUGGACAAUGGGGGGAACCCUGAUCCAGCCAUGCCGCGUGUGUGAAGAAGGCCUUUUGGUUGUAAAGCACUUUAAGCGAGGAGGAGGCUACCGAGAUUAAUACUCUUGGAUAGUGGACGUUACUCGCAGAAUAAGCACCGGCUAACUCUGUGCCAGCAGCCGCGGUAAUACAGAGGGUGCAAGCGUUAAUCGGAUUUACUGGGCGUAAAGCGCGCGUAGGUGGCCAAUUAAGUCAAAUGUGAAAUCCCCGAGCUUAACUUGGGAAUUGCAUUCGAUACUGGUUGGCUAGAGUAUGGGAGAGGAUGGUAGAAUUCCAGGUGUAGCGGUAAAAUGCGUAGAGAUCUGGAGGAAUACCGAUGGCGAAGGCAGCCAUCUGGCCUAAUACUGACACUGAGGUGCGAAAGCAUGGGGAGCAAACAGGAUUAGAAACCCGAGUAGUCC